GCGAGGGGCUGGCUUAUGGGGCUCAAGCCCCGAAUGUUUUGUCAAAAGCCCCGAAUCUAUUCAGAUCUGUAAAAUUAAUUAAUCCAGGACGCUAGGUGGCGGCACUCAGCUUUAACUCUACAGACCCCCACUCCAGUGAAAAGGAAUAAGAGAUGCAUGUUGAAGGCAAAUUAAUAUGCUGAAUCUCCCCACAGUAAACGCAUUUUCAAAGUGUCUUUAUUAUUACAGUGCCUCCGUUAUUACUGUAAGUGUAUAUUUAUAGUUAUGUGAUGUAAAUACUGUUAAAUAGCGUCAACUGAUAUAUUAUCUUGGCUAACGUCUAACUUACUGUGGUGCUCUGGUCUAGUCUGCCUCGUCUGCUGCACACUGUCAUUGAUGGAUAUACGAUUUAUAUUUUUAAAGACGUCAGAAGUAAGAAGUGCAAAUAGGAAGAGAGGAGGGUGGAGAGAGAUCACAGACAGACAGAAAGAGAGAGAAACGCUUCCAUAAGCAGGUGAGAAAU